UACGGAGGGGGCUAGCGUUGUUCGGAAUUACUGGGCGUAAAGCGCACGUAGGCGGCUUUGCAAGUCAGAGGUGAAAGCCCGGGGCUCAACCCCGGAAUUGCCUUUGAGACUGCAUCGCUUGAACAUCGGAGAGGUAAGUGGAAUUCCGAGUGUAGAGGUGAAAUUCGUAGAUAUUCGGAAGAACACCAGUGGCGAAGGCGACUCACUGGCCCGGUACUGACGCUGAGGUGCGAAAGCGUGGGGAGCAAACAGG
rnacentral:rRNA from 1 species